UUACACCUCAUCUCGAGUGGGAAUACCCGCUGAAUUGAAGCAUCUUAAUAAGCGGAGGAAAAGAAAA
rnacentral:rRNA from 1 species